CCGAGCAUUUCGUGCAGGAACUGGCUCCCCCGCUGGCGCCCUGGGUCAACCACCAGACCCAUCAUCGCGGCCAGACUCAUGCGCUUUUGACAGGGCUUGGACAGCCGGGUCCCGAACUGGACCUGCUGUUUUUUCAGCGCGAGCAGAUCAAAUCGGCGUCAUCGCGCUGACAUGGUGGCGACACCGUUGCGGUGCAAUGGAUGGCGGUAGUCUCCCGG
rnacentral:misc_RNA from 1 species